rnacentral:rRNA from 1 species
AGUGAACGCUGGCGGUAGGCCUAACACAUGCAAGUCGAACGGCAGCACAGUAAGAGCUUGCUCUUACGGGUGGCGAGUGGCGGACGGGUGAGGUAUGCAUCGGAAUCUACUUUUUCGGGGGGGAUAACGUAGGGAAACUUACGAUAAUACCGCAUACGACCUACGGGGGAAAGCAGUGGAUCUUCGGACCUUGCGCGAUUGAAUGAGCCGAUGUCGGAUUAGCUAGUUGGCGGGGUAAAGGCCCACCCAGGCGACGAUCCGUAGCUGGUCUGAGAGGAUGAUCAGCCACACUGGAGCUGAGCCACGGUCCAGACGCCUACGGGAGGCAGCAGUGGGGAAUAUUGGACAAUGGGCGCAAGCAUGAUCCAGCCAUACCGCGUGGGUGAAGAAGGCCUUCGGGUUGUAAAGCCCUUUUGUUGGGAAAGAAAAGCAGCAGGUUAAUACCCCGCUGUUCUGACGGUACCCAAAGAAUAAGCACCGGCUAACUUCGUG